AAUCGCUAGUAAUCGCGGAUCAGCACGCCGCGGUGAAUACGUUCCCGGGCCUUGUACACACCGCCCGUCACACCAUGGGAGUCUGCAAUGCCCAAAGCCGGUGGCCUAACCUUCGGGAAGGAGCCGUCUAAGGCAGGGCAGAUGACUGGGGUGAAGUCGUAACAAGGUAGCCGUAGGAGAACCUGCGGCUGGAUCACCUCCUUU
rnacentral:rRNA from 1 species